rnacentral:rRNA from 1 species
AGCGAACGCUGGCGGCAGGCUUAACACAUGCAAGUCGAGCGGGCAUCUUCGGAUGUCAGCGGCAGACGGGUGAGUAACCGGUGGGAACGUACCCUUCGGUUCGGAACAAGUCUGGGAAACUGGAGCUAAUACCGGAUACGCCCUUAUGGGGAAAGGUUUACUGCCGAAGGAUCGGCCCGCGUCUGAUUACCUAGUUGGUGGGGUAACGGCCUACCAAGGCGACGAUCAGUAGCUGGGCUGAGAGGAUGAUCAGCCACGCUGGGACUGAGACACGGCCCAGACUCCGACGGGAGGCAGCAGUGGGGAAUAUUGGAGGAUGGGGGCAAGCCUGAUCCAGCCAUGCCGCGUGAGUGAUGAAGGCCGUAGUGUUGUAAAGCUCUUUUGUCCGGGACGAUAAUGACGGUACCGGAAGAAUAAGCCCCGGCUAACUUCGUG